rnacentral:rRNA from 1 species
GUAGGUGGCAAGUGUUGUCCGGAAUUAUUGGGCGUAAAGCGCGCGCAGGCGGUUCUUUAAGUCUGAUGUGAAAGCCCACGGGCUCAACCGUGGAGGGUCAUUGGAAACUGGAGAACUUGAGUACAGAAGAGGAAAGUGGAAUUCCACGUGUAGCGGUGAAAUGCGUAGAGAUGUGGAGGAACACCAGUGGCGAAGGCGGCUUUCUGGUCUGUAACUGACGCUGAGGCGCGAAAGCGUGGGGAGCAAACAGGAUUAGAUACCCUGGUAGUCCACGCCGUAAACGAUGAGUGCUAAGUGUUAGGGGGUUUUCCGCCCCUUAGUGCUGCAGCUAACGCAUUAAGCACUCCGCCUGGGGAGUACGGCCGCAAGGCUG